GUUUCUCCUUUAAAUAAUCACAAACACACAAAAGAGCAUCAUAGAGCCAAAGCUGUCAUUGCUCUAAAGAAAAUUGAGCUAUCCUUACUCCCCAAUGGAUCUUGUCAUCCUUCUUCUUUGCUUAGUAGCCGCUCCUCUCUAUGUCCAUUCCACCGUCCAACUUGUGGAAUCCGGGCCAGGAACAGUGAACCCUGGAGGAUCCUUUAGAUUAACUUGCAAAGUGACGGGGGAUUCCAUCACAAAUGUAUACUGGGUGUGGAUCCGCCAGGCUACAGGAAAAGGAUUGGAAUGGGUGGGCCAGAUAGACUGGGAUAGUAAUAACUGGAGGACAUACUAUGCCUCAUCCCUCCAAAGCCGAACAACCUUGACAGCCGAUGGCUCCCGCAAUGAAUAUUAUUUGACCAUGAGAUCCCUGACAGCUGCAGACUCAGCCACAUAUUACUGUGCACGAAAGUCACAGUGGGAGAAAGCAAAGGAGGAAAUGUGA